CCAAAAAAAUAUGAAAUUAAUCCAUAACAUUAAAAAGUGUAUUCAAACUAAAACUAACGCUCCCAUUCCCCCAAUCCCUCUGGGGACACUUUUAAGGUUCUGAUAUGCUCUCCUAGCUGGUAACCCCUGCCAGAGACUGAGGUGACGGGAUAAGACAUUUUCCUCCAACCCUGGACUCGCUUUAGUAAAAGUGCAGGCGACACGUGAUAUCACAACCAUUUGGAUGGGAAUCCAUUUUGGUUCCGGGAUACUUCUCCCCUGAGAGACAACCUCACUACGGGCCACUCGGGGGACAGAAGCAACCAGCUCGUGAAAGAAAGAACAGGGACCGUGUUUCCACAUUGUCCGGCUUGUCUUUGACAGACGGCAGCUUUCCGACUCACAGCUCUGAUGCUGCCAAACUUCUUUCGCCCUGAAGCAGCAUCUGGUUUCCUGAUUCUAGUCUUUCCUUUGUCAGAACGCGUUCCCUUCCAGCAGCGGCUAGAGUCCCUCUAAUGUUCCUUAAGCCUAAUUGGAGUCGGGGGUCUGAGAAGUCUCAGCUGCUCUGGAGAAUCAGGUAGUCCCAGAGAGGGAGGCCCGGGUCCUAGGACCCGCCAGUUGUGUUGGCCAGAGUCCUGGGUCCAGUGAGUUGUGAUCGGAGCCAAUCCCAUAACCAAUUUCAGUACCUCAGUUUCCCCACCCAUAAAACCUAGCUCUGGGACUUGGGGAGUCUUAAUGAGCAUUGGCCUUUCCUGGAUAAAUUAACCAGGUGCCGGAAACAUCUGUGGCUGGAAGCGGAGUCUGCUAUAUAAACAGAAUCUAGUAUUCUUAUACACAGGACUGCAGCUAAAGCUCAAAUACCAGCUAAGCCUGACUUCAUCCUAAGUCCUAUUUAGUAAGCCUCCUGGGAAAAGCCAAGCUCUUCUCCUCUAGACCAGGUUAUAUUUGAGAAACUCACCUUCUCGUUUCUCUCACUCUAUUCUACUCAGGACAAAGGAUUUUCUUAAAAAGUGGAGGAAUCAAUAAUUCUUCCAGCAAGCACCACUUUCCAUUUAAAUCAUAUAACAAUACUCCAGAAAUAGAUACCCCCCCAGAGGAUAUAUGUUCCAUAUGAACAUAGGGCUUAUUCACCCCAAUAUUUCCAAAGUACUGAUUCAUAGAGGAUCCUAAAAAAGGGCUUUUUGAACAAGUAAAUAAAUGAACAGACAAUAGCCCUAGAAAAAUAAUACUAUAUGUUUGCAUGGGCUUUAGACUACUUUUACAGUAUCUCCUUCCAUGCUGUCCUCAGUUUAUGAGCUUAUUAGGGCAGAAAAUAUUAAGCCAUUUCACAAACCAGUGGACACAUGGAAGUCAACCUGACAUAGCCAGGUGCAGAUCAGGUCUCCAAACACCCAAUUCAGUCUCCUUGCUUUUACAACUCACUGCUUUCCUCUGUCUAAACUAAGCGUCAGAAAACUAUAGCCCUGCAGCCAAAUCCAAGCCAUCACCUGAUUUUUGUAAAUAAAGUUUUAUUGGAACACAGCCUCACCUGUUCCUUUACUUAUUGUCUAAGGCUGUCUUCCCACUAAAACGGGCCAAGUUGAGUAGUUGCCAUAAAGAUCACAUAGCCCACAAAACCUAAAAUAUCUACCACCUAGAUAAAAGCUUGUUUACCUCUUCUCUCUAGCCUGGAAUCCCAUCAGCCCUGGAGCUAUUGGUAGAGACAAGGGCUCCGUGAACACAUUGCUGCAGUCACACAGCUUAUACAACCAACUAUCCCUUCAUGAAUGCUUACUACUAGGAGUGCAAAGAGCUUUACUCAUGUGGACCUAAAACAAAUUAACUGGCAGUUAUUUGUUCAUCAAAAAUGAAUUUGGGAUCAAUAAAAAAAAUUGCAAUUAUUUUUGCAAUAGUGAGCUGCAUACAACUCCCCAUGUAGCAAGGAGAGGAGAACUCUUUUAAAGAGGGGAAAGGGAAGUCAGGAGGACUACAGUAAAUAGAGUCCAUUGGGAGACUUGAGAGCUCAAACUAUAGUGGCUUUUCAUUGGCUGAGUUGUGAGAGUCUCUCAUUGGCUAAGGUCUUGCCCAACAAGAAGAGGAAGACUUUCUUCUUCCUUUUGGGCUCAGCUAUCCUAGGGCUCUGCUGCUGUGGGACAUGAGAGCUCCCCCUUCUGGCCUCCUGCCUAAUUUAACUGAGGUUUCUUUUUAUUGAUUUUUACACCCACAUUAUCUUAAUUUCCCCAACAAUCCUGUGAGAUAUGCAUUAUUAUACAAAUACAUACUGUGCUAAUAAUACUGGACUAAGCAAUAUGAAAUUGCUUUUUUUUUUGAAGGUCAAAUGCUGGCAAUUUCAUAUAGGUCAAGCUAAUAUUACUAUCUCUGUUUAAAAAAUGACACUACAGGAGCAACUGGCCCAUCAGCACACAGUUAAGUGAAAGUGCUCAAAUACCAACGAGCAUUCUGGUUAGGGCAGCAACUAGCUACACUGCUUCUUCUUAAAACUUUACAUUCACUUUAUGUAUUAAAGGUUGUGCUAAUAUUUAAGUGUGAACUGGAAGUGGGCACUUGCCAUCUGCCUCUGUAAGGAUUGAAUCGUGACCCAUUGUGACUGCUCACCCUUGACACCCCCUGAAAGAGUUCAGGGUGCAGAUGAGGGGUGAGGCAUUCUGCAUUCUGGGAAAACUGGCAGAACAGAUCUUUAGAUAGAUAUUUUCAGGAGAAGAUUUUAUGAACUCCUGUAUCUCCUUACAUCUAGAAAAGCACUAAAAUCCUUCAUGGUGACACCUGCUCCUCUUGACUAAUAGUAACCUUCAAAAGACUAAUAGCAAAAACCUUCCACACAAUGUGUGCUUGAUUCCACACACCUCCCCUUUCACCAAAAUCACCUACACACUGACAUACCCCCCUAACUCUUUGGAGCAGUUUUUCAGAGUAAUCUGAGAUGCCUCCUGGGCUAUCGUCCUCAUUUUGCCCCAAAUAAAACUUAACUCUCAACUUUUAGGUUGUUGUUUUUUUGUUUUUUUUUUUAAAGUAAAGAACGAAUCUAAUGCUGUUUAAGUAAGCCCUUCUCAAGUUUAUUUGACCAGUAAAGUACUGCCCCCCACCCCCCCCACCCCCCCGUAGCACCUAUGAAUAUUCCACAAAACUAGUCUUCCUUGGCAAAAACCCUUUUUGGGAAACACCUCCAACUCCCUUCAUCCCCAUCAAAGAGCUUGCAACCAUCCUCUGGCUGCAGCCACCUCCUGACUCCCAGAAUCCCCACACAACUGCUCUGGGCAUGCGCUUUGCUCCACUGGCAAAUGGAACUCCAUUUAAACUAAAAGAACCUGAAUAGUUCUUGCUGUUGCUGCUGGCCAAUUCCAUUUACAGGAAUAAUGAAGCUCCAUCCUUGUGUGGCGAUGGAUGUUCACUUAAUACACUUUAACCAUUCCAUACCGCCCAUUUGUAAUGCAAAUAAACUGCAUCUUCCAUCAGAAUGGCUCACCCUCCCUCUUAAGUCCAAAUUCUUCAUAGGAUUUAUGUGCCGAAUCAGUUGCAGGCUUUUUUCCAAUGGCAGUAUCCAAAACCUGAGAUUGUCUUUUAGUCCAGGUCAAUUAAACAAUGUGGUAUAUAUAUGCUUAGCUGGAUUUUUCCCCCUCCUUUUUAAAAGAAAAUAAUGGCUGGUGUAUAUAAAGUUUCCAGUCAGGGCCUCCUUUAUUACACAUUUUCUUUGGGAAUAAUCUAAGUCCGUAACUGACAUAUGCCUCCUCUUCUGCCCCUUCCUAAAAUAUUAACUUGGUGGGGAGGUUAGAAAUCCAUCAUAGCCAAUGACAGACAUCAGGGCACAAAAAUAGCAAGCCUCAAGUUUAAUAUUUUAUUGCCAUAUUUUGAAACAACUGGUUAGGCAGCUGCUACUGUUAUCUUCCAAUUACUUCUCAUUUUUCCAGUUUUAAAAGCAAGCUGUGACAAAUUAAAUCUAAAUUUCUAUAUGCUUUUCUAAAAAAAAAAAAAAGACAAAUUUCAGAAUGCAAUGCAAAAAAAAAGAAGUUAAAACAGAGGAAGAAAGGGAUAUUGGCAACAGGCAAGAGGAGAAGUCUAUUCUCUGUGCCUACGUGAUCUGUUUGAAUGGCCUUGAGGUAUGCAGAAAUGCCUUCCCCACACUGGCCAAGAAGAUCCUGAAUAGGUUCGGAGACUUCGUAGUUGUUAAAAAGGCACUCUCCCUGCCAGCUUUACAAAGGUGCAAAGAAGAAACCCCGUCAGUGAAUGCUGAAUGACUUUCAUACUCUGGUGUAACACUCCAUCAAUGGUGCCCGAAUACACAAGAAACUACUCAAGACAUAAUGAAUCAUAUUUGGGAGGUAGCCGCUCACGCAGAACUGCUCAUGAUUCUGACUAUGGAGACAGCAAACAGUGUG
rnacentral:lncRNA from 1 species